CUUUACUGGGGAGAAAGGGAAGGGCAUUAAUAAAUGAGGAGGAGGCUAAAAUGAAUUAUUAAAACCAAAAGGCUGAGAAGCCAAAUUCCUCUUUAAAAGUUUGCAUUAAGGAAGAAAACCAGGAGAAAGGUUAGGCUGAUUAGGCUGUGAUGAAGAUCCUAUGGUGAUUAUUGUUUAUAUAGCACCAUGGGCCUGAUCCAAAGCUUCCUAAAGCACACAGAAAGACUCUCAGUGACUUCAGUAGGCAUUGGAUCCAGGCCCAAGUGAGCUAGGUUCUUCACAUGCAGGUUUGAAGACAAGAUCCCAGCUCUCAACUGUAGGAUGGAGGAAAAGCUAAUUCAGAGACAAAUGAAGCGAGGGAAGAAUUACAGGGGAAGCAGCAAGUAACAACGGUGGACCUAACGGUGAUUCACUUAAUGUGUUCCCAGUGACAGCUAUAUGAGGGACACCUUAGCUGAGAGCAGGCCCCACUCGUUUCCUGUGGCGCUGAUCUGACAGUUAUUUCCUGUACAAACUGCCUGCGCGUCUCUCUGGCUAAACUCUGCAUUUGAGUUCACAAGGGGAUCCUGGCUCUUCUAUUCGGAUCUCCUGCCACGGAGCAGCCUGAAAUCCACACAUGCAGAGACAGCAGGAGGCAGGAUUCACUGUGCGGUUCGAAAGUAGAGUGUUGUCCAUACUGAUUUAGCACUGUGCAGCCAACCAGUCUCCACGUACAUCCUCGACACACACCUGCCUCACCGGACUUGCUCAGGUACUCAGUAACACACCUCUGAAAGGCAUAUGCCCUGCCACAACAAUAGAUGCUAUACUGUAGCAUGCAGUUCAUCUUUCUCAUAUUUGCUUUACAGGCAGCAAAGAGCCGGGAAGCAGGCUGGGGUGUUCGGUAUACGCUGAUAGUUAAGUAGCAUCCAGUAUUUCUAUAUGCAAGAUGCCACACAUAAAUAUACU